GAGUCUUCAGUUGCAUGUGCCGGUGGAUCAACCCAUGUAGACACACAUUCUGCAGCUUCUGGGUUAAUAGAGGAGUCUGCUGUGCCCUCUAAGAUUUUUCCACAGGGUGGUGAAGAGAAAUGAGCCAAUAGAUGGGCACAAACUGUACGGACAUUUAUAUCACCGUCACCUGGUUACACUCUUUCCUUCAAAUGUUGAUUUAUUCCUUGCAAAGCUUCUCAUCUUCCUUGUGGGUGUCAUCCUCCCCCACUGACCUAUAAAUAAAAGAGUUUCUUUACUUCUAUUCCCAUCUUAUCAAUGAAAGGGAAAGAAACUGUGGUGGAGCCAACUUUCAGCCAUGAGGACAUUCCCCCUUCUGUGUUUUGGUUUCUUUUUCAUACUGCUGAGUUUCUCAGGAUUCAUUAAUGCUUGGCAUGGAAGAUGUCGGGGCAGAUGCGCUCCCAGGUGUUCCGAUGAUGAAUAUGUGGCUUCAAAAGAACUCUGCCAUGCUCAUAACCAUGUAUACUGUUGUGCAAAUCCAGAAUCCCACAAGGCAAUCUGUCGGGGCAGCUGCAAGCAAUUUUGUGCAGGCAAUGAAUAUGUGGCUUCAAGAGAUUACUGCCAUCACCCUGACUAUGUCUACUGUUGUGUGGAUAAAGGCAAACGCUACUGGCCAGAUCUUGACAGAGAUGGACGUUAUUAAAUGGCAUCAACCCCUUCCUAAAAUAUGGGUUCCUUCUUCAGUGCCAAUCUGAUGGAUGUAAUUUUUUAUUUUGAAGAAGCUUUUUAGCUGCUCAAAUGACAUCUGGAAAGGAAACCUCCAAUUCGAAUAAUUGUUAAAUUCAACAGCUAAUAAAACCAAAGUUGUUGCACU